UAAAAAUUGCCGUUGAAAACUGUUAUUCUUGAGAGUAGAUAAGGUAGGCGGGAAUGUGUUGUGUAGCGGUGAAAUGCAUAGAUAUAACACAGAACCCCGAUUGCGAAGGCAGCUUACCGGGCUACAUCUGACGCUGAUGCACGAAAGCGUGGGGAUCAAACAGGAUUAGAUACCCUGGUAGUCCACGCAGUAAACGAUGAAUACUAGCUGUAUGCGAUAUAUUGUAUGUGGCAAAGCGAAAGCAUUAAGUAUUCCACCUGGGGAGUACGUUCGCAAGAAUGAAACUCAAAGGAAUUGACGGGGGCCCGCACAAGCGGAGGAACAUGUGGUUUAAUUCGAUGAUACGCGAGGAACCUUACCCGGGCUUGAAAUGCAAUCGACGGUAUUGGAAACAUUACUUCCAGCAAUGGCGAUUGUGUAGGUGCUGCAUGGUUGUCGUCAGCUCGUGCCGUGAGGUGUCGGCUUAAGUGCCAUAACGAGCGCAACCCUUAUCAUUAGUUGCCAUCGGGUUAUGCCGGGAACUCUAAUGAGACUGCCACCGUAAGGUGUGAGGAAGGUGGGGAUGACGUCAAAUCAGCACGGCCCUUACGUCCGGGGCGACACACGUGUUACAAUGGGGGGUACAGCGGGCAGCUACCUGGCGACAGGAUGCUAAUCUCUGAAAGCCUCUCUCAGUUCGGAUCGGAGUCUGCAACUCGACUCCGUGAAGCUGGAUUCGCUAGUAAUCGCGCAUCAGCCAUGGCGCGGUGAAUACGUUCCCGGGCCUUGUACACACCGCCCGUCAAGCCAUGGAAGCCGGGGGGACCUGAAGUACGUAACCGUAAAGGAGCGUCCUAGGGUAAAACCGGUAACUGGGGCUAAGUCGUAACAAGGUAACCGUA
rnacentral:rRNA from 1 species